AUUGAACGCUGGCGGAAUGCUUUACACAUGCAAGUCGAACGGCAGCACGGGGGCAACCCUGGUGGCGAGUGGCGAACGGGUGAGUAAUACAUCGGAACGUGCCCAGUCGUGGGGGAUAACGUGACGAAAGUUACGCUAAUACCGCAUACGAUCUACGGAUGAAAGCGGGGGACCGUAAGGCCUCGCGCGAUUGGAGCGGCAGGUGUCAGAUUCGGUAGUUGGUGAGGUAAAGGCUCACCAAGCCGACGAACUGUAGCUGGUCUGAGAGGACGACCAGCCACACUGGGACUGAGACACGGCCCAGACUCCUGCGGGAGGCAGCAGUGGGGAAUUUUGGACAAUGGGCGCAAGCCUGAUCCAGCCAUUCCGCGUGCAGGACGAAGGCCUUCGGGUUGUAAACUGCUUUUGUACGGAACGAAAAGGCUCUGGUUAAUACCUGGGGCUCAUGACGGUACCGUAAGAAUAAGCACCGGCUAACUACGUGCCAGCCGCCGCCGUAA
rnacentral:rRNA from 1 species